rnacentral:tRNA from 2 species
GGUCGCAUAGCUCAGUUGGUUAGAGCGCUCGCCUCACAUGCGAGAGGUCGCAGGUUCAAGUCCUGCUGCGACCACCA